UACGUAGGGUGCAAGCGUUGUCCGGAAUUAUUGGGCGUAAAGAGCUCGUAGGCGGUUUGUCGCGUCGGCUGUGAAAAACCUGGGGCUCAACCCCGGGCCUGCAGCCGAUACGGGCAAGCUAGAGUUCGGUAGGGGAGACUGGAAUUCCUGGUGUAGCGGUGAAAUGCGCAGAUAUCAGGAGGAACACCGGUGGCAAAGGCGGGUCUCUGGGCAUUAACUGACGCUGAGGAGCGAAAGCAUGGGGGAGCGAACAGG
rnacentral:rRNA from 1 species